rnacentral:lncRNA from 9 species
CUCUUUGUCAUGAGAACUGGCACUAUAGCUUUUGCCAUCUUGGGGCCAGAGCCUUCGUAAAUAUAUGUGCAUGGACGGCUCAGCUGCUACGUUGGAUUUGGUAGAAAAGCUACUGAAAGGUGAGGAAAAAUACAGGGAAGGGCUUUUCUAAAGUCGAAGGAGUUAAACAAGCCAAGGAGUACUAGAAAGUUUAUUUUGGAAGAGCGGAGAGGGCUAAAAAUCAAAGGUAAGUCUGAUAUUCCAGUACUGAGGUCAGGCAGAAGGUGCUGGAGCCCUUUGUUGGACUGUGGAUGGAUGAAGUUUAACAGGACUGAGACCCAGUAAUCUCUCUGCUGUUUCUUACAGUCGCUCACUCUGUUACAUCCUGCCCUCAGCUAGCAUUUUUCUUUAUUUUCAGGAUGUUUCUUAGGAUGUCCCUUCAUUUCAUACCUAUCCACUCAUCGUUGCCACAUCUCCACUGUCCUCCGCAGAUGGUUCAGAAUCUGGGCUGCCUUAUGUUCCAGGUGUAUUUUUCAGACAGUUUCUACCUGUAUCACCCAAAGCAAGCAGCAGUGUUUCAAGGAUGCUAAAUGGGGAGUGUGCCGUGGGAAAACUGUGGUCUCCGCUUUGAAACCCAGCGUGGAGUGUUAGGAAAUCAAAGAAAGCAGAAGACAUGUAUUGACAUAGACCUUUGCUGUCCUCUUAGAAGAUGCUGUCAGGUCUGACUUGUGCCCCAGGUACAAUGCGAUGUGGUGGCCUCAGCCUUUUCUCUAAGUGAACCACCCAGCAAGGCUGACCACACGGAUGCUGUCCAAACUUUGUGGCCCAAGACGAGUCAUUUUUGAGUGGGAAUGCCUUUUUCCCUUCAAGUUGCAAAGGACUUCACGGGUUUCAUGUCUGGCCUUCUCCCCAGCUUGUCUUUCUUUUUUGGCCAUUUUUCCCUGGCAUCGAUCCUUUUGUGUCUGUUUUAGGGUCUCCAUCCUCGUCUUAUAUAUAAUGCCCAUUUCCUUGAGGACCCCAGCUCUGUCUAUGGAUGCUCUUUUAAUGCUCCUGACAUGUAUGUUUUCAGGUCAUCUGGGGCUACUUGUUUUCCCCUUUUGUAGUCAGAUAUUGAUGGAGAAUGGAACAAAAGCUGGAGGCUCCCUUCUCAUGGAUGCCAGGGACCUGGUCGUUAAUGGAUUUGUGUCGCUGUGCCCGUGUCAGCAACUGGGGAGGUCUUUUACCUGCGACCAUGCUGUCUGAGCUUCCUCCAUCCCCAGCACAAGACCCCCUGAGAUUUGACAAGGAUGUGUAACAAGCCAACACAAAUUGCCAAGGCAUGUGUCCCAUGCCUGCCAAGGCUGAAGCUACCUGGUAUCCAGGAUGGGAGGGCUGGUACCCCAGUAUAUCUGUGUUCGCUAGACAUUUUAAUAAUAAAACGUUUUCAAAG